AGGGUCUAUUCUACUCACCGUCGCCGGGAAAGUAUGGUUCGCUUCCAGGGCGGCUGCUCCGGCGGAUCCCGAUGCUCUUCAGAACGACGAUACGCCAUUAAAAACAUAAAGAAUCCAAGAACAAUCUCUCUCCGCUCCUCCUCCUCCACCUCCUCUGCCUCCGCAAAACCCGUUCUCCUCCCAGCGAAAGGAGAUAAAAGUCCGGCCGUCAAAAUCCCACGGCUUCAUUCGUCCGCAUCUUCUCCUUCGGCCACUUCCAUAGCUCACAAUGAAGACCUCAUUAUUCAUAUUUUACUUUUCUUGCCUCCGAAGGCUCUCCUCCAGUUCCAAUCCGUCUCCAAGCAGUGGCAAUCAGUCAUUUCCAAGCCUGCUUUUCGCCGCCUCCACUGCCGGAAAUAUCCCUCCUCGUCCUGCUCUUCCUUCUUUCUUCUUCAUUUUUUUCUAUCAAAGUUCCCCCGCUUAAUUUCAUCUCUCUCCGCCAAGAAGACUUGAAGUCAAUGGGUACCUUCACUUCUCGCUUAAAUGAUUUACUUGAUUGUAAGCAGGUCCUGUUCUUGCAUUCUUGCAAUGGUUUAUUAUGCAUUUCUGUUACCUCCGUUUUUGAUGAUAGCUCCCAUUAUGAUGGCGGUAGAAAAUUGGUAGUGUUUAAUCCUACCACUAAUCAGCGUAGGAUUAUUCCUAGGGAGAAGAAAUUGGCAGUCGAAAAACAUCGUGCUAUCAAUAUUAUUUUUGACCCUUCCAAAUCUGAUCAUUACAUGAUCGUAUGUGUCUUGGUCUAUGAUAAAAAAGAAUUCAGGUUCAAGGUAUAUUCAUCUGAAACUGGGGUUUGGAGUGAGACAGGGGUGACAUUUCGGAAACGUGGUGUCCGGUACUAUUUCGAAAGAGGGGUGCUUUGGAAUGGUGGUCUUCAUUGGGUUAGUAAGUCAUCAGGUACUCUAUGCUUUGAUUUGGACAAUCUGUGUCUAAGGCCGGUGAUUCCUCAUCCCCAAAAUCCCUCCUCUGAGUGGUGUCAUAUCUGUUUCUUUGGAGAGUCAGGGAGGCAUUUGUAUUUCAUUGGUCUGGACAAAUCUGAUGCCACGCUAAUCAAAGUUUUUUCGUUGAAGAGGGACUAUUCUGAGUGGGUUGUGAAGCAUUGUAUCGAUAUUGCUCCUUUGAUUACACUGUAUCCAUCUAUGGUGGUUGAUGACUAUGAACCUAUAUACAGGGAGCGGUUUCAUCUGGAUAUGCCUUGUUUUGUUGUGGAUGAGAAAGAAAAGGAAACAAUGCCUGUGAUAUCAAUCGAGGGUAACUCAUUGCUUAUGAGAUCAAUAAUAUGAGUGUGAAGGAGUUUGCAAAAGUAGAUUUCGGUGAUCUAUCGAAGGGUCGUGCUCUAAAUUACGAUUGGCAGGCAGCUUACCAGCACCCUGAGACAUUAGCUUGCGUUUAAUGGCCCAUUUCAUUUUGCUAUAUACAGCGAUACAAUGACCACCCUCUAUGAAAGUUAUGUAGCAGAACCAGAAAGAUGUGACAUUGAAAAAAUUAACAGGAGAGAAAAUAUUGUAAUUCUUGUGUUGUCAAUAAAGGGAAAAAUCAUUUCUUUUGAGACCAAUUCCGUGACUGUCAAGGAGCUUGCAGAGGUACGGCCCAGGGAGCAAGGUACAUAUGGAGGGAAGGCUACCAGCAUAUUGAGACAUUGGCCUCUGUUUAAUUUUGGUCUACAUCAUUUUGGUAUGUGAAGCGGUGACUCAAUGACCCUGUAUCCACCUAUGAUUAGUUGUGCUUGCACUGAAGAGGAUAAUAUGUCCUUUUGGAAGUAUGAGAUUAUGCAAUUCUGGCUGCUAGGGUAAGCAGAAAUGGCUUCAGCCUUCAUGACUGUACCUGCAUGCAUAAUAGCUUGUGGAUGAUUCCUGGUAAGUAAGGUGGUUUUCAAUGGCAGGUAAUAUUACACUAGAACUACUUUGCCUAUGGAUCUAUUUUACUGCUAAUUUGGACCAACUUUGAGAUACUAGGAGUAAAAUCAUGUCCCUUUAGGGUACAUAAUAGUAGGUGAGCUCGAGUGUUAGUCGUUUGAAAAAAAUUUAAAAUUUCUUCGCUAGAGUUUCCUAAUUUUGGAAGGUAGAUGAUAAUGUUUAAAAUUUGAAAUAGAUCCACCCCUUAUAUUUUGUAUAGGAAUGACAAUGGAGCGAUUUUGGGGGUAGAGAAGAUUCCCCUACCCCCGACCUGUUUCACAAAAGUUCCCCCACUCCCGCUCCCACUCUCACUCCCCCAACACGUGCCCCUGCACCACUACGCCAGCAGGGUGUACCCCCGCUCCACUAUCAUUAUUAUUUUUUAUACGAUUAACAUUUUCUAUUUGUAUAGAUAUAAUACUAGUUUUAUGAAUAAUUCUUAUGAAAUUUUAGCAAAAAAUUAUAUCAUGUUAUCGUAACAACAUAUCAUGUAACUUACUCAAUAACAAUAUAUUUAUAUAGUAAUAAUAACAUAGCAUUUAUUUCACAUUAUAUAUAUAAAAUAUACAUAUAUGUUACGCUAUAUUAAAAUUUAGGCAAGGGGUGGAUCAGGGAAUGGGUUGGGGGUACGCUCCCCCGCCUCCCUGCUCCAUAUAAUGUAGGGGAAUAAAAAUCUGCUUGCCCUUGCCCUAAUCCCUGCUCAAUCCCACCUCCCAUGGAGUGAGUAUCCGCCUCCGUUGCUAUCCCUAAUUAACAUAUACUUAUCCAAGUGUGAUGCUUGAUAAAAGCGCAUGAAUAUAAUUACUUGGAAAACCAUAUUCAGUUUAACCCAUUGACAAGCGUGCUGACAAGUGAGUAGUUGGUAAGUAAUUAACUCACACUACUGUCGUGGGAGCUUUUCUUCAACCCUUGAAUGUAGAGAAAUACCAUUUUGUGGUAGGAUAAUUGUGAAUAAUCAUUCAAUUUUGAGAUUACAACUUUCUCCUAUAAAGCUAAGAUCCUACUAAGCUAAGCUAAGAUACAUGGUGCAUAUGCCCCAAUUCCAAACUUUUUUUCUUUUUUCUUUUGGGUAAUGCUAUUAGCACUCUCCAUAUGUUAUUUGCAUUCCCACUAUUCCGUUUUUAUUUUGAUGAGACCAUAUACCCCCUCCCUACUUUCUUCUCCUUGCCUAUGAGUUAACUUUACUAGAAUUUCUCUUACAUUCUAAAACCAGUUAAUGAUUCCAUUACACAUUAAAAUGGCUAAUUUAAAAUUGUCACUAAUAUGUAUUAUGUAUUUUUUUACAAAAUGUCACAACAUUAUAUGAUGCCAAAGAUCAAUCUAGCAGUGUAAUAUGAUCAGAUUCCAAACUUCAAGCCCAAAAAAAUAAAAACAAAAAUCCCAAUCUUCAAAGGUGACUAGAAACUGAGUAAAACUACAAUGUCUCAUAAAUAGGAUACUAAUACUUCAGAAAAUCUACUAAAAAUAGCUCAUACCACAUAGGGAGUGAAGCUUUCUUGUAUAUUUCAACAAUAGAAUAACAUCAUCCAGUAUCCAGAUGAUGCAAUGGUACCUCAAUUAAAAAAACAGUUAUGUAGAUUUAGAAAAGAGAAGCAAAAGUUAUGUAGAUUUAGAAAAAGAGAACACAAUUGUGCCCAACUUCCUUAAGUGUUAACAAAAGAUAGGGUAGAAGAAAAAAUUAAGACAGUGGUAAUAUGGUCUCAUCAAGAUGAAAAUGGGAUAGUGGGAGUGCAAAUAACAUAAGGGAAGUGCAAAUAACAUUACCCUUUCUUUUUCAUCCUUAUUUUGUAUCCGAAGAUGUAUUGAAAGUUCAUUGUUUACAUGAGCAAAUUACUCGGACAACCACUAAACUUUACAAAUGGUCAAGUUUUAACCAAUCAACUAUUAAUAGUAUGUUUGUAUCCACUAAAUUAUCAAAAGCGUAAAUUUUGGGCAAUUUCGUCUAAUUUCACCAUUAAUUUUACCAUAUCUAACCGUUAAUAGCAUGUCUCGUGAAUUAUGCAGGCCCUUAGAUUUGGCAAAGUUAACGGUAAAAUUAAAUGAAAUGACCCAAAAUUUAUACUUUUGAUAGUUUUGUAGAUAAAAGCAUACUAUUAAUAGUUGAAUGGCCAAAUUUUAACUAUUUAAAAAGUUCAAUGGCUACCUGCAUAAUUUACUGUUGUUUACAUAAUGCCCCUUUGAAAGUUGCUCUUGUACUAAUAUCACCAAAAGACAAACUUGUACAAGGAAGCAUUGUGCUUCCUUUGUUCAAAAAAUUUAGAGAGGGUAGUAGCGCACUUGUGUAGUCUUGAGAUUUAUCCCCAAUUCCUAUACAAUUUCAGUUGCGCUCCCUCUCUCCCCAUGAUAUAAGAGUAGUGUAGAUUGAAUCAAAAUCUUGCAACGGAUUGUUAUGCAUUGAGAUUGCAUCCAAAUCUGAUCAUAGAGAGUUCAUUGUGUAUAAUCCCACCACCAGUCAGCAUAGGAUUAUUUCCCUGAAGAAAUCAGGAGUAGAACAAGAUAUGUUUCAACCUAUUAAUAUUGUUUUUGAUCCUUUAAAAUCUGAUCAUUACAAACUUGUGUCCGUGUGGCGCAAUCCAAAUCUUGCAACACAUUGCUAUGCAUUGAGAUUGCAUCCAAAUCUGAUCAUAGAGAGUUCAUUGUGUAUAAUCCCUCCACCAAUCAGCAUAGGAUUAUUCCCCUGAAGAAAUCAGGAGUAGAACAAGAUAUGUUUCAACCUAUAAAUAUUGUUUUUGAUCCUUUAAAAUCUGAUCAUUACAAACUUGUGUCUGUGUGGCGCAAUCCUGAUGAAAACAGUGGAGAGUUGGGUUUUAUUGUGUAUUCAUCUGAAAGUUUGGUUUGGAGGGAAACAGAAGAGACAUAUGAGAUUUAUGAUGUGUUCUAUGAAAGAGGGGUGUAUUGGAGUGGUGGUCUUCAUUGGGUUGGAAUUUUCAAUAGUAUAUGCUUUGGUUUGGAUAAUGAGUGUCUAAGGCCGAUAAUUCCUCAUCCUCCAACUCCCUCUCUGUGUUUGUGGAACACCUGCUACUUUGGAGAGUCAGUGGGGCAUUUGUAUUUAUUCGUCUGAGCAAACCUCAAGCAAUGCCAGUGAAAGUCUUUUCUCUGAAAAGGGGCUAUUCUGAGUGGGUUGUUGGGCAUUUUAUCGAUCUUGCUCCUUUGACUGCUUAGUAUCCUUCAAUGGUGGUUGAAGGGAGGUCGUCAAAUGAUAAGAAAUUUGAUUUACGCAUGCCUUGUUUUGUUGUGGAUGAGAAAGAAAAGAAAGCAACUGUUGUGAUAUCACUAGAGGGUAAAAUCAAUUCUUAUGAUAUAAAUGAUAAGACCGUGAAGGAGCUUGCUGAAGUAGAUCCGAGUCAUCUGCGGGAGCUUCCUUCUUCCUUUAGAGCUUCUUCAAAGUAUAUUUGGCUGGACGCGGUCCAGCAUAUUGAGACUUUAUCUUGUGUUUAGUGGUCUAUCUCAUUUCAGCUUGCGCACUGGUUUGAUGACCCUGUUUUAACAAAUUCAACUAGUCUAUGAACAGAAUGGUAGCAGAAUUAACCAGCUUACUUGCUAUGUAGUUUGCCAAUCCAUUAUGAUGCUUCUUGACUAGAGUUUCUUUAAUUGACGUUUUAAACUUUUUCCAAAGUAUAUUUCCCCAUGGAUUCUUGUU